GUGAGGACCAGGCCUUAGUGUAGUUAGGGCCAAGCUAACACUGUCAAUGACAUUGCUGUUCUUCUCAGAAGUCAUUUCUGUCUGUGAUUAACUUGUUUCCAUUAGGUUAGUGACAGACAUCUCAUUUUUAUUCACAAUAUGCUAUUGAUAUACUAGGGUCUUUGCAUCUUUUCUGAGCAGCAAAAUCUUUUACAUGUGGAUAUCCCAUUAAAAUGGAAUUGUAUCCAAUGUGAGUGGUAGAUCUGGAGUAGACUAACUGUGUGGUGGAUUUGGAAGUAACUAAUGCCAGCACACUGCUACCAGGAUCCCUGCUUUCCUCCACCUCUUUUUUUUCCAUAAAAUAUUCAUCCUUGCAACCCUUGGAGUUGAAUUUUUAUUAUAACAGUUAUAAAAAUAUUAAGCUAAAAUAGAAACUUGUGAGUUCCUUUGUAGUUUUGUAUUAUGGAAUAGCUACAUAACCAAAUGGAAUCAAAUUGAUAAAGUGCAUAAACUGAAAUGUUGUUUACUUAUUUAUUUAUUCAUUCUAACUGAAUUAAGUGCUCAUGAAGUGACACAGCAAUAGCAGUGAUCUGAAACAGGUACAGUGCAGGCAGAUUUGUGCACACUUCCCUAAACAGCUCAGCAUCUCAGUUUUGCCAUGCAGAACCUCAUGCUGGAGAGGAGCUAGAAGAAUUAACAGCCAUUGUGUUACACUGCAAGAUAUGUACUUUUGUGGACAAGCAGGGACUAGAAUGCCAUUCUCACGAUCAAAACCCAGGUCUCCUGUCACCAACUCUUCCAAUAGCAUAUUAUUAAGAAAAAUAUCAGCUCCAGUAAGGCGUGUUUACUUGCUCUAUUUACACAUGACAAUAACAUCAUGGCAAGUACUCUGCAUAGGCAGCUGCCAGAAAAUCCACAUCCAGUAGCAGGAGCAGCACAGAGUGAAUGCUGACUAUAUUCUCCACCCACUCAAAGCCUACAGCCACCCCACUCUAUGGAUUUCCGAGAUAGGAACUGAGGAAGAAAAUUGUGGGGCAUGGACUAGGAAUAAAAAUGGGGUAAUGUGCAUAGUUGGGCCUGUUCUACUCCAAGGAAGUAUCCCUAAAGAUUCUAAUUAGUUUUAAAAUGGAUCCAUCAAAAUCUCUUUGGAUGAAAGUGCAGCGUAGUUUAGGCUCCUUAAACCAACCAUUUUUACCAAACCAGUUUCAAAAACUGCUGAAGGUAGUUUAGAAGUUGGUUCACUAAAACUGGUUCAAGCUGCCAGGAGCCUGGUUUGCACUAGAGCUUCAAGCAGUUUUAAAAUCAGUUAAGCUCAACAGAUUUUAAAAGUGGUUGGAAUUUUGGGGGAAACUGUUCCAGGAAAAACCAUACCUUUGCAUGCAUAUACUUGUGAUGUAGCUGUUUCUCCUUAUGUCCUCAUUUGUUCUCCUGACAGGAAUAAUGGGCAAGAGAGGGUUAGGCUGCUUUUAUAAAAUCCUGUUUUAGGACUCAUUUCACUCAGUUCCUGAAUUUGACUAGCUUUUCUGAAUAUUUUUAAAGAGCUAAACUGAUGAUGUUCUUAUCAAUUUCCUUUGCUCAAGAGUCUACUGAAUGAGCCACAAUGCUCUUUAAUGUGUAGCUGGAAUUAAAUUAUACUAACAUUUGAAUGGAUUAUCUGCCAAAAAUAUCUUUUCAGGAAAGCAGCAGAAAUGUAAUGACAUCCACAGGGGAAAAAAUGGUCCUCAGACAGUUUCACUGUGCUGUCUUACUGAAUUUAUUCUACAUAUGCACCAGGAAAGAAGUUCUGAGACAGAUCUGUAGGGUGGUUGUUUGCUUCUCCCAACCUGUUUUUUUGUUGUUGUUUUUUUUGCGGUCGGGGGCUUGUCUUAAAGCAAUUACAAUAAAGUAGACAGGUGCUGUAAAGUAGUUACAAAAUAAACCAGGAGUCCAAGUCCCAUUCUUCAUUAAAAUAUCCUUGAGAGAUUCCAUCUUUAGAAUGGGAGACAUGAUACAAGAGGUUAGAUGCAAAAAGCAUCAAUACAUCAAAUAUGACAUUCCCCUCAACCCCAUUCCAGAGCCUCAACUCAUAUAAAGUCAAAUACUCAGAUGAUCAAAGGCCAUCCUAAACUGGGCUAGCAGCACUGACCAAGGCAGGGCUUGAAAAAAUGUGUCAGACCCAUUAGCCAUAACACUAAAGCUUCUAGCCUAAGGUAGAAACAAAGGAGAAAGAAGAUGGGUCCAUAUCAGCAAUCUUCAGGGGAAAUUCCUUGGUGAGACAUUUCUAACCACUGUGUAGGGUGAGGGGAUUUCUGCCAGGAUUGUACUUGGACUCUGCUUGGGGAAUCUAGCUUUCACUUCAGCUUCUGGAAAUUAGAUAUCAGAAAAAUGUGAACCUUCAAUUGCCCCCCUCAAGCUUCUAGAAAUGAGAAGCGCUCUCUCUUUCUCCCUCUAUGUCCUCCCAGCUACUGUGAAGGUGAAAAGUCCUCUACUACCCAGCCUCCUGGCUGCUGAGGGAUGCAGGAGAGAAAAUGAAAGAUCUCUGCUACUUUACACCUUUCCGGUCUAGACCUUUACUUUGCAUUUUUUGUCAUUGUUCCUCUUGAAUGAUUCUAAUGCCACCUUCUACUAAUGCUCAUACUUUCCCCUAAGCACCAGCAGGAAAUGGUUUCAGUGCUGUAUAUAGGAUUCCAAAUAUUAAGAGUGAAACUGACCAGAGUUCUGUUGAUUUCAUUCUGCUGCCCAUAUCUUUGUGAGGCAGCAGCAACAAAGACACAAACUUUAUCUGCACACUCAGGAAGUCAGCCCUGCAUCUACUUAAAUCUUAAAUAGUAUCUUUGCAGUCAGAAAGAUUAGAAACAUAGGCUCCCACAUGCCUCAAGGAAGGUUUUCAACUCAAUGCUAGGUGAUUAGAUUUUUUUUAAACCUGGAAUAUUACAAUAUUUUUAGACUGUAAGCUCCUUAGAGCAGGGAUUGUUUCUCUAUUCUGUGGAAAGCUCUAUGUCUACCAUCAAUACUUAAAACAUAAUGAAAAAUAAAUACAAGCAAAGUUAGGCAUCUCAUACAAGUUCACAGAUGGUUUUGCUUACAAGUAAAUUGUAUACUGAACAAUAAAAAUUAUAGGCUAUAGCCAUUAACUCAUCAUUGUCUCAGAAUCUUGCACUAAGACUGGACAGCAAGGAUUAGCCAUCUGAUCAACAGAUGUCUCAUUUCCCCAAAUCCCUUAUCAAGAUUUAAGAGUCCCAGCCCCCUAUGCACACUGGCCCCCUGACAGUCAGUUUCCAGUAACAUUAAUCUACCUUUCUGCUCACCACAUGCCCCAAAAGGGUGCAGCUGUUAAAGCUCAUUACUUGAGCAGUGAAUCACAGGAAAGACUGCUAGAGGGGGCGUGAUAAAAGAAGGAGAAAGUACUUUCAUGUAUUACAGUAGAACCUCAGAGUUAUGAACACCUUGUUAAUGGAGGUUGUUCAUAACUCUGAAACGUUUAGUUCUGAACAAAACAUUAUAGUUGUUCUUUCAGAAAUUUACAACUAAGCAUUGACUUAAUACAGCUUUGAAACUUUAACAUGCAGAAGAAAGAUGCUUUUAACCAUCUUAAUUUA